UUGGAUUGGAAGGAUUCUAACUCCCUUUUGAAGCUUUAUAGGAGAUUUUUGCACUAGAGGUGAGUUUUCCUCACCUAUGCUUGAUUAGCUUAAUGAUUGAGCUAAGUAUUGUUCGUUUGAUUCGUGUGACACUUGUUUUUAUACCUCUAGGGUACUAGGAGGCUAGAGGACGCCUUCGUUGGAGCAAACGGAGAGUUUCGUUGUCA
rnacentral:lncRNA from 1 species